rnacentral:rRNA from 1 species
GACGAACGCUGGCGGCGUGCCUAAUACAUGCAAGUUGAGCGCUGAAGGUUGGUACUUGUACCGACUGGAUGAGCAGCGAACGGGUGAGUAACGCGUGGGGAAUCUGCCUUUGAGCGGGGGACAACAUUUGGAAACGAAUGCUAAUACCGCAUAAAAACUUGAAACACAAGUUUUAAGUUCGAAAGAUGCAAUUGCUUCACUCAAAGAUGAUCCCGCGUUGUAUUAGCUAGGUGGUGAGGUAAAUGCUAACCAAGGCGAUGAUACAUAGCCGACCUGAGAGGAGAAGCGGCCUCAAUGGGACUGGGACACGGCCCAAACCACUAGGGGAGGCAGACGGCGGGAAUCAUCGGGAAAGGAGGAAAGGCUGACCGUGCAACCCUGGGUGAAUGAAGAAGGGUGUCGGGUCGUAAAACUCUUUUUGUAGGGAAGGACGUUAGUGGGAGUUAAAAGCUCAUAUAGUGACGGUAACUACCCAGAAAGCUACGGCUAACUACGUG